rnacentral:tRNA from 1 species
CAUGGUAAGCAGAGAUGGGUAACGCGAUGGCGUUUGAAGCGAGGGUACUGGGUUCGAGUCCCAGAGUGAACA